rnacentral:rRNA from 1 species
AAUAAGAACCCGGUGACAGGUGCUGCAUGGCUGUCGUCAGCUCGUGUCGUGAGAUGUUGGUUAAGUCCCGCAACGAGCGCAACCCUCGCCUUUAGUUGCCAGCAUUCAGUUGGGCACUCUAGAGGGACUGCCGGUGUCAAACCCGGAGGAAGGUGGGGAUGACGUCAAGUCCUCAUGGCCUUUAUGUCUAGGGCUACACACGUACUACAAUGGCCGGUACAAAGGGCAGCCACUCAGCGAUGAGGCGCUAAUCCCAUAAAGCCGGUCUCAGUCCGGAUCGCAGUCUGCAACUCGACUGCGUGAAGUUGGAAUCGCUAGUAAUCGUAGAUCAGCAUGCUACGGUGAAUACGUUCCCGGGCCUU